rnacentral:rRNA from 2 species
UAAACGACUCUCGGCAACGGAUAUCUCGGCUCACGCAUCGAUGAAGAACGUAGCAAAAUGCGAUACUUGGUGUGAAUUGCAGAAUCCCGUGAACCAUCGAGUUUUUGAACGCAAGUUGCGCCCGAAGCUUUCCGGCUGAGGGCACGUCUGCCUGGGCGUCACGC